rnacentral:rRNA from 1 species
CCUACGGGUGGCAGCAGUGGGGAAUAUUGCACAAUGGGGGAAACCCUGAUGCAGCGACGCCGCGUGAGUGAAGAAGUAUCUCGGUACGUAAAGCUCUAUCAGCAGGGAAGAAAAUGACGGUACCUGACUAAGAAGCCCCGGCUAACUACGUGCCAGCAGCCGCGGUAAGACGUCGGGGGCAAGCGUUAUCCGGAUUUACUGGGGGUAAAGGGAGCGUAGACGGAAGCACAAGUCCGGAGUGAAAUCCCGGGGCUUAACCCCGGAACUGCUGUGGAAACUGUGCGGCGGGAGUGCAGGAGGGGUAAGCGGAAUUCCUGGUGUAGCGGUGAAAUGCGUAGAUAUUAGGAGGAACACCGAUGGCGAAGGCGGCUUACUGGACUGUAACUGACGUUGAGGCUCGAAAGCGUGGGGAGCGAACAGGAGUAGAUACCCGGGUAGUC